GUCUGUGUGAAGUUAUAUAGAGUCUAACCUGCCCGUUGAAAGUUUUUGAAAGGCCGCAGUAUUCUAACUGUGCAAAGGUAGCAUAAUCAUUAGUUUUUUAAUUGAAGGCUUGUAUGAAGGGUUGGACAAAGAGAAUUCUGUCUUUUUUCUUUUUUUUGAAAUUAACUUUUAAGUGAAAAGGCUUAAAUUAAUUUAAGGGACGAUAAGACCCUAUAAAUCUUUAUUUUAUUUUUUUUUGUUGAUAAUAAAUUUAGUAUAUAUUAAUUAAGAUAAAAUAGUAUUUUGUUGGGGCGACAAAAAUAUAUUAUAUAUAAACUGUUUUUAUUAAAAAACAAAGAUAUUUGUUUAAAAAUAAUAGAUCCUUUUUUAAGAUUAAAAGAUUAAGUUACUUUAGGGAUAACAGCGUUAUUUUUUUUGAGAGUUCUUAUCGAAAAAAAAGUUUGCGACCUCGAUGUUGAAUUAAAAUUUCUCUGUGGUGUAGAAGUCACAGGAAGAGAGUCUGUUCGACUUUU
rnacentral:rRNA from 1 species